GACGAACGCUGGCGGCGUGCUUAACACAUGCAAGUCGAGCGGUAAGGCCCUUUCGGGGGUACACGAGCGGCGAACGGGUGAGUAACACGUGGGUGACCUGCCCUCAGCUCUGGGAUAAGCCUGGGAAACUGGGUCUAAUACCGGAUAUGACCCCAUGACGCAUGUCGUGGGGUGGAAAGCCUUGUGCGGCUGAGGAUGGGCCCGCGGCCUAUCAGCUUGUUGGUGGGGUGAUGGCCUACCAAGGCGACGACGGGUAGCCGGCCUGAGAGGGCGACCGGCCACACUGGGACUGAGACACGGCCCAGACUCCUACGGGAGGCAGCAGUGGGGAAUCUUGCGCAAUGGGCGAAAGCCUGACGCAGCGACGCCGCGUGAGGGAUGACGGCCUCGG
rnacentral:rRNA from 1 species